rnacentral:misc_RNA from 1 species
GGAACGAAACCGAAGUUGAAGAUUUGCCAAUAACAGUAAAAAAAAGACAGGAAAGGAAGCGUCUUUUUGGGAAGCACUGAAUGUGUGCCGACUCUGGCGUAUCCAAACUAUAAACUGCCGGAUCUGAAAGAGAAAGAGAAACGACAAAAAGGACGCGUUUUGGCAGUGGCACAGACGGACUUAUGGUGCACGUGAGAUACCACAACCGUGAGAUUGCAAGCAAAACUCUCUUCUUUAGUUCCCCUCCCUAUCUCUCAUCGCCACUGUCAGGUCAGCCAUUACUUUUUCUCCUACCA